GUCCUACGGGGCGCAGCAGUGAGGAAUAUUGGUCAAUGGCCGGGAGGCUGAACCAGCCAAGUCGCGUGAGGGAAGACGGCCCUAUGGGUUGUAAACCUCUUUUGUCAGGGAGCAACGCCGGCUACGUGUAGCCGGACUGAGAGUACCUGAAGAAAAAGCAUCGGCUAACUCCGUGCCAGCAGCCGCGGUAAUACGGAGGAUGCGAGCGUUAUCCGGAUUUAUUGGGUUUAAAGGGUGCGUAGGCGGAAUGCCAAGUCAGCGGUAAAAUCGCGGGGCUCAACCUCGCUCCGCCGUUGAAACUGGCG
rnacentral:rRNA from 1 species